GGGUGAUAGCUGAUAAAGUCCAAGGGAGUCACAGCCUGAGCUGUGGGACUGUCUGCCACCGGACCGGGGUGCAGCCUCUGGAACCCAAGGGAGUCUCCUGGGACUACGGCAUCGGGGGAGGAUGGGAACACAUCACCGUCCGAGGAAACUCGACCGAAAGGACCAAGGUGGCGGCUCAGGAUGGUCCCAGCAGCUCUCCUCACAACCUCACUAGCUUAGAGGUUCAUGGAAGCCACCAGCCCCAAACCACCAUUUUUGUCGACGGCGUCCAAGACUUGGACCUUAACGCUGUCCAGUGUUGACUUGUCUUCUGACGUUUCCACCUUCUGCUCAUGGCGGGUGUCCUGGAUCACGGAAGCUACCCGGAACACCAGGCUGGUUUUGGAACGCUCCCCCAUUGAGUGCCCAAGGAGACCAAGCCAACUCCAAGCAUGAAAUCCACACCGACCCUUCCAUCUUGUGUCCCUUUGGCGAGACCGCAGGCGUCGACCCCCAUCCUCGUCGAAGUGAUGCUCCAACCUGGGAGGGUGGUGGUGGUGGUGGUCUCCCAGUUGUGUGUGUUUGUGAUCUCCCAGAAUUCCCCACUUCUCCGUGAGCAUUCUUGGAGUUAAGAUUCAACCCCAUCCUUCCAGUGGAGA